rnacentral:misc_RNA from 1 species
GAAAUGCGAUACGCAAUGCGAAUUGCAGAAUUCCGCGAGUCAUCAGAUCUUUGAACGCAGCCGGCGCUGGAGGGAUCUCCCUCUAGCAUGCUUGUUUCAGUGUGUACGGUUGACAUCAUUCACUCAAGUGCGAUUGAGGCGUGUUCUUUAUUGAAGACGUCUCUCUCGCUAAAUGAGAAUGCGUGAGGUCGUUGCUCGACCAGCGAAGUGGUCACUGUUUAUCAGUGAAUUCGUUGGACUAAAGGCUUCGACCAAAAAAAGCACGCGUUUUAACUCAACUCCUCUUCAAUCAGCACCUGAAAUCAAGCAAGAACACCCACUGAACUUAA